GGCCGCCGCCGCGCAGGGGGCGCGCGGCUCCGCGGGGCUCCGCGCCGCACCGCGCCGUCUGUUGCCGUCAACUUUUGCUCCUCUUGGGAGCGCCUGGCUGCUGGCCGGUCCUGCCCGGCAGCCGAGGCUGGGCGUGGUGGUACAGACAAGAGCCUUGCCGGCACAGCUCUGGAGCUUGUGGAGAAAGGCAGCUUCGUGGAUCAUCUUAGAAACAAGUCCCUGCUACCAAGGAUCAUGGUUCCUAACUCCAAGCCUGAAAUGAAAAUGGAAAACCCUAUUUAACUGAAGUAUAUCCAUACAAAAUUACUCAUACUGACCUCAUAAAUCAAAAUGGGAUAUAUUUUGAAGAGAGAUACUUUUAAGUUAAAUAUGGACCUGUCGAAGUAGAUUUAUUCUUUCCUACAUGAAUUAUCAGAUGAAGUUCUGUUAGGUCUGUUAUGCAAGAGAUCACACGUAUGAUCUCUUUUGCUCUGAAAAAGUUAAGAAUCAAUACAGGAAAGAGACAAAGUGAAGUUUCCACUCUUGGUGCAAACUGGCAAAGCCUUACUCCUGGGGAACAAGGUGACGGGUUUACAGGAAGCAGUUCUUGUGGUUAGACUCUUUCAAAACACCUGUUUGAACUGAAACUGAGAAAGAUAUGAAGAAUCAGCUCUGCCAACAUUGAAAAUGUUUAGAUUUCCCUGCUUGUGGUGAAUUUUAACUGUGUUCACCCUGGUAAAGUCAGAGUCAGUUAAAAAUAAAAUAAUCAUGCUGAAAUCCUAAGAUAUUGGUUGGUUUUUAUAUUUUUGACCGUAGUAUUUAUGCAAUUUGUAUACUGCAUGCAAAGCUGUUAAUACUCAUUUACAGCAUUUUCUUAGGAUCCUGUUCAGAAGCUCUUAACAAUUGCUUAUUUUUCACUCCAAUUAUAUCAGCAUAUCUUCCAAUAUCAGUUACACGCCAUCCAUCUUUCCACUUCACAAGACCAGGAAUUUACAGUAGUAUAUUUUCUUUAUAAUUGAAAUUUCAGAAGAUGUCGUUGGCAGCACACAGGUUUGUUUCUAGGACUCCCUUUUGUGGAUUUUCCCAUCAGCCAUCUCUUCAACCUGUUCAUCAUGCUCAAAAGUUUCUGAGGGCCAGGGAUUCCUAAGCUGUUUCGAGGCAACCCAAGAGCAAGAAUGGGCUUCAGCGAAGAAGACAGACAGAUGAGAGGUGGAAGGAAUACGCAGGCAAAAUAAAAUGCUCUAGGAAGGAAGCAGGAGGCAGAAGACCUACCUACAGAUCAAUGCUUCAAAUCCUCCUAUUAGCAGCCUCUGAGGCACCAGGCACUAUAGGUCAGGAACAAGAUGAUUCUUCAAAUGUGUAUCACUCUCAUGCAGUAGUUUAAAAAGCAAGGUUCUAUUCCAACCGAAGAUUUUCCACUUUAAGUGGAUGCUGACCUUCCAGCUAAACAUUCUUUUUGCCUUAUGGAAGCAGUCUGAUUUUAUAAUUUUUUAAUGUUGUUCUACUGGAAAAAAGCAAAACUCGGAAUAUAGAUAUUUUAUUUAUCAGGAAAUGAAUGAAUUUUCUGGGGAAAUCCCAGUUUUCCUAUUCAUA